GACGAACGCUGGCGGCGUGCUUAACACAUGCAAGUCGAACGGAAAGGCCCUGCUUUUGUGGUGUGCUCGAGUGGCGAACGGGUGUGUAACACGUGAGUAACCUGCCCUAGACUUUGGUAUAACUUCAGGAAACUGGGGCUAAUACCGGAUAGGAGCUCCUGCGGCAUGGUGGGGGUUGGAAAGUUUCGGCGGUUGGGGAUGGACUCGCGGCUUAUCAGCUUGUUGGUGGGGUAGUGGCUUACCAAGGCUUUGACGGGUAGCCGGCCUGAGAGGGUGACCGGCCACAUUGGGACUGAGAUACGGCCCAGACUCCUACGGGAGGCAGCAGUGGGGAAUAUUGAACAAUGGGCGGAAGCCUGAUGCAGCAACGCCGCGUGCGGGAUGACGGCCUUCGGGUUGUAAACCGCUUUCGCCUGUGACGAAGCGUGAGUGACGGUAAUGGGUAAAGAAGCACCGGCUAACUACGUG
rnacentral:rRNA from 1 species